AGAGUUUGAUCCUGGCUCAGAUUGAACGCUGGCGGCAGGCCUAACACAUGCAAGUCGAACGGGAACAUUUCUAGCUUGCUAGAAGAUGACGAGUGGCGGACGGGUGAGUAAUGCUUGGGAACUUGCCUUUGUGAGGGGGAUAACAGUUGGAAACGACUGCUAAUACCGCAUAAUGUCUUCGGACCAAACGGGGCUUAGGCUCCGGCGCAAAGAGAGGCCCAAGUGAGAUUAGCUAGUUGGUAAGGUAACGGCUUACCAAGGCGACGAUCUCUAGCUGUUCUGAGAGGAAGAUCAGCCACACUGGGACUGAGACACGGCCCAGACUCCUACGGGAGGCAGCAGUGGGGAAUAUUGCACAAUGGGGGAAACCCUGAUGCAGCCAUGCCGCGUGUGUGAAGAAGGCCUUCGGGUUGUAAAGCACUUUCAGUUGUGAGGAAAAGUUAGUAGUUAAUACCUGCUAGCCGUGACGUUAACAACAGAAGAAGCACCGGCUAACUCCGUGCCAGCAGCCGCGGUAAUACGGAGGGUGCGAGCGUUAAUCGGAAUUACUGGGCGUAAAGCGCACGCAGGCGGUUUGUUAAGCUAGAUGUGAAAGCCCCGGGCUCAACCUGGGAUGGUCAUUUAGAACUGGCAGACUAGAGUCUUGGAGAGGGGAGUGGAAUUCCAGGUGUAGCGGUGAAAUGCGUAGAUAUCUGGAGGAACAUCAGUGGCGAA
rnacentral:rRNA from 1 species